UAAUAAACUGCCCCCUUCCUCUCCUCACUUCAACCUGACAGUGAGUGUGUGGUUUCUUUCAUGUCCCUAACAGUGACUGUACACUGACUGGGCAAGGCAGAGAGGUGUGGGAGGGCCACCCUGUGCACUGCUGGCACGAGGAAAGUAAGGGACACCCUGAGCAGCACACCCAACACCACAGCACUUUGCACCAUCACCUCUGCCUUGGAGUGGUUUGGCAGGUUAUGGCUGGAGCAGGCUGCUGUCUGACACGGGAGGGAGGUGACAUCACAGCCCUUUAAGGCUAGGAGAGACCAGUUCUAGGACAUAUAUAACAGUACAAAGAGGAGAUAAAGAGGUGGACAUUUUGACAAGGAUGAAAAAUAAGCAAAUGCAAGACUGUGAUUGCAUUCCUGAAGCACCAUCAGCCUUUGGGUUCCUGAAUGAAGGCAGCACUUCUACACUGUCAAAGGAACAGACCUCAAGGGAAUGAAGGGACAGAAUAGCAGGACUGAGAAGAAUGGAAGAAACCAGCUAAAGAAUCUUAGCAAAGGAACUGAAAUACUAGGAUCAUCUAACAGAAGCAGGAUGCUCCUUUCAAAAGACCCUGUCAUAAAAGCAGAGAUUUGACUAAAGCAAAGAAAAAAAUCAAUACGCAAAACCCUUACGUUUUUACAUUUAUAAAUAAAUAUACAACAGGACUAUGAUGAAAAUCAAUGAGUUAUUCUCUAAUAAUGACACUUCUUCAUGGAAUAAGAAUGUAUAUGGACCCUGUUCAUUGUUUAAUUAAUGUAUGUCAUUCUUUAUUAAGCAUGGGUUUGCUCAAAUUUAGCUUAAGUGUCU
rnacentral:lncRNA from 1 species